rnacentral:misc_RNA from 1 species
GAGGGGUUGUCCAAAAUAUAAGCACCGUAAGAGCAUCAGACGUCGAUAACGGCACUGAAAUGUACGGCCAUUCGCACGACCCUAGCAACGAGGGUAAAAAAAGACGAAAAAAGAAAAGAGCAAUCCAAAGCAAACGCCGGCAGACGCACUUACCGCUCGCCCACAGAAGCAGUCGAUGACGAUUUGCCUGCGUCACUUCCCGUUCCGCUCCCGCCUUGCUCAGUUCGGCGUCAUUUUAAUCGACUCUUGCGCAUGGUUUUCGGCCAAUUCUCGAAAGGCAGGAGCACAUCUCAGCGCCGACGGGCAAGGUGGUGGCUGAACGCCCCCCACCGGCCCCCGGCUGGAGGAUGAACACGGGUGGAGGGGAGCUGACGCAGUCACUCAGUGUGGCUGUUGUGAGUCACUCGAUGAUGUCAGCCGACGACCUGAGCGACCCGCCCUCAAGCCCAGACAGCCCCUUCGACGACUCGGACCUGUUGUCCUCGUCGACGGUUGCCGACGAUGUCACCACCCAGCUGGCAGCAGCAGGUCCCAUUGGGGUGGCUGCAGCUGCAGCCAUAGCCACGGGGAAAAAACGCAAGAGGCCGCACACCUUUGAGACAAACCCUUCCAUUCGCAAGCGCCAGCAGACUCGCCUGCUCAGGAAACUGAAGGCAACCAUUGAUGAAUACACGACACGUGUUGGCCAACAAGCUGUGGUGCUGGCGGUCACCCCUGGGAAGCCCCAGAACCACUUCAAGGUGUUUGGAGCCCACCCGCUGGAGACCGUGGUGCGUGCUUGCCGAGGCGUCCUGGUUGGGGAGCUAGAGGCAGCGCUGGCCCAGCAGGCCCCGCCACAAACGCAGGAUGACCCGACACUGCACGAGCUGCCCCCACUCGUCGUUGAUGGCAUCCCUACACCGGUCGAGAAGAUGACUCAGGCGCAGCUGCGGGCGUUCAUCCCUCUCAUGCUCAAGUACUCAACCGGGCGGGGCAAGCCAGGCUGGGGCAAGGAGUCGACCCGACCCCUCUGGUGGCCCAGUGACCUACCCUGGGCCAAUGUCCGCAGCGAUGCACGCUCCGAGGAGGACAAACAGAAGCAGGUGUCGUGGACGCACGCCCUGCGCCAGAUAGUGAUCAACUGCUACCGCUUCCACGGCCGAGAGGACCUGCUGCCGGCAUUUGAGGAGGACGACAAGGAUAAGGGCAGCAAGAGCCCGACACCACAGCUGAGCCAGCAGCAGCCAGUCACCGAGGCCACCCUGUCGGCAGCACCCAGCGUGCGCAUCGACAAGGUACAGUGGAGCACAGUGUCUGACAGCAACAAUGGAAAUGUUCAGACUCUGUACACCAGCCCGCUUGCGCACUACACACCCACGAUGGUGCAAACCAUCAACAACCCUGACGGCACGGUCUCCAUCAUCCACGUGGACCCUGGAAGUGCGCUGCUCACGCUUCCAGAUGGCACACAGGCACAGGUCCGCACCGUGAGCACGAUGGGUGCAGCAGUGACGGGUGAUGGUGAGGGUGGCCAGGCAGUGACGCCGAUCAGUGCAGUGAACAUGGAGCUGAACAGUGAGGCUGCUGCCCAGGCAGUGGCCACCCUGGCUGAGGCCACUAUCAACCACGAUGGACAGAUUAUCCUCACAGGCGAGGACGGCACACAGAGUGUGGCGUGGUAUCUCGUUUCCAUGGAGGAAGGAAAAAAACUAGGAGAGAGCGUCACAUGAUUCCGCUAGCCUCGGCAAGCCAACCUGCUCUGACGCUGCCCCUCCCACUCUCCGGGGCCUUGUGCGCGGUACCUUUUGGCGUUCCCAGUGUCCGGUAUGGUGACCAUACCAGUGUCCAUGUACCAUGGAAUGCAAGUCACUAUGGCACCUGUUGUGUCUGCCGAAGCUGCUGGCACCGAAGGAAAU